rnacentral:rRNA from 1 species
AGCUUGUUGGUGGGGUAACGGCCCACCAAGGCGACGACGGGUAGCCGGCCUGAGAGGGCGACCGGCCACACUGGGACUGAGACACGGCCCAGACUCCUACGGGAGGCAGCAGUUAGGAAUCUUGCGCAAUGGGCGAAAGCCUGACGCAGCAACGCCGCGUGGGGGAUGAAGGCCCUCGGGUUGUAAACCCCUUUUCAGUCGGGACGAAAAUGACGGUACCGACAGAAGAAGCCCCGGCCAACUACGUGCCAGCAGCCGCGGUGACACGUAGGGGGCAAGCGUUGUCCGGAUUUAUUGGGCGUAAAGGGCUCGUAGGCGGUUCGACAAGUCGGGUGUGAAACCUCCAGGCUCAACCUGGAGUCGCCGCUCGAAACUGUUGUGACUAGAGUCCGGUAGAGGAGCAUGGAAUUUGUGGUGUAGCGGUGGAAUGCGCAGAUAUCACAAGGAACACCAGUAGCGAAGGCGAUGCUCUGGGCCGGUACUGACGCUGAGGAGCGAAAGCAUGGGGAGCGAACAGGAUUAGAUACCCUGGUAGUCCAUGCCGUAAACGUUGGGCACUAGGUGUGGGACCCUCUCAACGGGUUCCGUGCCGUAGCUAACGCAUUAAGUGCCCCGCCUGAGGAGUACGGCCGCAAGGCUAAAACUCAAAGGAAUUGACGGGGACCCGCACAAGCGGUGGAUGAUGUGGUUUAAUUCGAUGCAACGCGAAAAACCUUACCUACCCUUGACAUGCUUGGAACCUCGCAGAGAUGCGAGGGUGCCCGAAAGGGAGCCAAGACACAGGUGCUGCAUGGCUGUCGUCAGCUCGUGUCGUGAGAUGUUGGGUUAAGUCCCGCAACGAGCGCAACCCUUGCCAUUAGUUGCUACGAAAGGGCACUCUAAUGGGACUGCCGGUGACAAACCGGAGGAAGGUGGGGAUGACGUCAAGUCCUCAUGGCCCUUAUGGGUAGGGCUACACACGUCAUACAAUGGCUGGUACAGAGGGUUGCCAACCCGCGAGGGGGAGCUAAUCCCAUAAAACCAGUCGUAGUCCGGAUCGCAGUCUGCAACUCGACUGCGUGAAGUCGGAAUCGCUAGUAAUCGCGGAUCAGCAUGUCGCGGUGAAUACGUUCCCGGGUCUUGUACACACCGCCCGUCACACCAUGGGAGCGGGUUCUGCCAGAAGUAGUUAGCCUAACCGCAAGGAGGGCGAUUACCACGGCAGGGUUCGUGACUGGGGUGAAGUCGGAACAAGGUAGCCGUAUCGGAAGGUGCGGCUG